CAAUAGCGUAUAUUUAAGUUGUUGCAGUUAAAAAGCUCGUAGUUGGAUUUCGGAUGGGAUUUGCCGGUCCGUCGUUACGAUGUGCACUGGCCAGUCCUAUCUUGUUGUCGGGGACUAGCUCCUUGGAUUCACUUCCUGGGACUAGGAGCUGACGAGGUUACUUUGAGUAAAUUAGAGUGUUCAAAGCAAGCCUACGCUCUGAAUACAUUAGCAUGGAAUAACACGAUAGGACUCUGGCUUAUCUUGUUGGUCUGUGAGACCAGAGUAAUGAUUAAGAGGGACAGUCGGGGACAUUCGUAUUUCAUUGUCAGAGGUGAAAUUCUUGGAUUUAUGGAAGACGAACAUCUGCGAAAGCAUUUGCCAAGGAUGUUUUCAUUGA
rnacentral:rRNA from 1 species